CCCGCCUCGGGCAGCCAAGGCAACCAGAGCACCUGUGAUGGGGACUCCAGCCUCUGUGGUGAGCGCGAGCCACCCCUGUGGCAGGUUUCAACACCUCCGCAAGCAGGCCUCUGCCAACAUCUUCCAGGAUGCUGAGCUGGUGCAGAUCCAGGGCCUGUUCCAGCGCAGUGGGGACCAGCUGGCUGAAGAGCGGGCCCAUAUCAUCUGGGAAUGUGCGGGGGAUCACCCUGUAGCUGAGGCGCUGAGGAGAUUGCGCAGGAAAAGGCCACUGAGACAGAACCACUGCAGCCGGCUCAGAGUGCCUGAGCCUGGUUCUACAGUGGCCGACCCACAGGUCAGCACCACUGACACGGCCUCCAGUGAGCAGUUCGGGAACUCCCAGAGGACAAGUGCCAGAGCCCACCGGAACUGGAAUAAGCCAGGCCCCACAGGUUACCUCCACCAGAUCAGACACUGACCUAUGAAGGGUGGGGACGUCCUCCCCAAAUAUUGCAGGGACUUUCACCAAAGGGCUUAUGGAGUUGUAGAAAGGACAUCUGAGCAGGCCCUGUCUGGGUGAAGAAAAGUGGUAAUAUGAAUGCCCUCAGUUCAGCUUAGAACCAGCAUCUGCUGGGCUCUGCACUUGCAGGACCUGUUCUUAUCAAGUGAGGCAAUACCGAGGUUGCUCAUGCAUCAGCCUUUCUGGCCUAACAGUGUAACCCAGCUGCAUGGUGUUCCCCUGGAAUAAAAGUAAUAUGCC